rnacentral:rRNA from 1 species
GAUGAACGCUGGCGGCGCGCCUAAUACAUGCAAGUCGAGCGAGAAGACGUAGCAAUACGUUUGUAAAGCGGCGAACGGGUGAGGAAUACAUGGGUAACCUACCCUCGAGUGGGGAAUAACUAGCCGAAAGGUUAGCUAAUACCGCGUACGCUCCUUGGACUUCGGUUCAGGGAGGAAAGCGAUACCGUGGGUAUCGCGCUCUUGGUUGGGCUCAUGUCCUAUCAGCUUGUUGGUGAGGAACGGCUCACCAAGGCUUCGACGGGUAGCUGGUCUGAGAGGACGAUCAGCCACACUGGCACUGCGACACGGGCCAGACUCCUACGGGAGGCAGCAGUAAGGAAUAUUGCGCAAUGGGCGAAAGCCUGACGCAGCGACGCCGCGUGGGGGAUGAAGGUCUUCGGAUUGUAAACCCCUUUCGGGUA